UCUUGACUCCACUGCAUGAAAGAAGUUCAUUGCAAAACAAAAGUGUGUGCUGAAAGCUGGGUCAUGGUGGACUGCUUGAGAAUUAGACAGCCCUGUCUCAUGCUGGGGAAAUUCCCUUUAUGGGCAGUUUAUACAAUUAUUCAUAAGAAGGUGGAGAUGGGCAUUGCAGUGAACCAUGUGACCAGUGGUCUUCCGGGUACACAUGUGCCACUGCUCUGCAUGCUAGCACAUACAUCACAUGGCUCACUAAGCCUCUUAGAUCUCCAGCCAGGGGUGUGUUUUUUACUAUUCCAGUUGGAACAGGUCAGCCCAAGGACACUAAGCAUGGGUUUCUGUGUUGGCGAGAAUCUGGGAGUUUUCCCUUCUGCUGUUCGUCCUCCUUGCUGCAGGAUCUUCCACCCACAUAGAAGUGGAUGUGGUUUGUACCCAGUCAAGUGGUUUGUUCUCUCCAUCUGUCUGGCAAGUUCAUUCCCCUUUACAAAAGGCUAUGACCACUCUAAUCUAUUUCAAAAGAAUGGAGGAGGGAGGGAACAGGAACAACAUCAUGAACUGAAGAUGAGGAUGUUGAGGAGAAGCAGCCGGAGAGCAGCCAAGAAAACUUUGUGUUUUUUGAUAGCUCAGUGAGGGCCAGUUGAAAUGUCAAGCAUGGAAAUGAUCCUAAAAACACUGAUGCUCAGGGUCACCUUUCUCAGACAUUGAUUCAUUGCUCUUUAAAGCCGAAGGUUGGAUGUGAAGGGUAUACUACUAUCAUGGGACCAGUCCCUGAAAUAUGCAGAUUUAUGUGCAACCUAUGUUAGGCCUUGCUCCUUUCUGCUCUCAUGCAGCCAAGGGAUCACACCUUUGCUUGAACAUCAUCUACUUAUUGGAAGCUAGAACAUUAGACAUUUUAAAACAUUUUUCUCUGCCAGUCCUGUGAUGGUUAUUCUUGCUGUUCUGGGGAUUUUCUAAUGACCUCCAGUAUGUAAUACCAACAGGACACUGAGUGUGGAAAGAAAAGCAGUUUGUGAUUUACUGGCCAUGGAUCUUGUUUUCUUAAGUACUGUACAUGCUUUUCUCUGUUGGGUACAGCAUCUCUCUCCUAAACUGACUUUCAAAGUCCUCCAUAAUCAGUCAUUUCAAAUCUACCCUUGUGACUUCCAAUUCAGCCAGGCCAGGUACACCCUAACUAUACCUGCAGUUUUCUCACCAUUGAGGAGUUUUCCAUUCCACCUCAUCCACCGCACCUUUGAGCUUUGUUUCCAUACAUCUCAAGCCCACCCAUCUUUGAGUCCACUUCUAGUUCUCUCUAUCAUACGUUGAUCACCCAAUCUCUCCUUGAUCUAAUUCUUUUGUCAGUUACUAUGUUUAAAAAUUAUUGGUCAUCAUGUAGGAAACUGUAGGUUUAGGGUCCUUUAAAAAAAUGUUGUUCUUCCCCAUCUCUACCAAAAAUACAAAAAAAAAAAAAA
rnacentral:lncRNA from 1 species